GCUUUUCAAAGUAUGAAGAGUUUUAUCAACUCCAUGAUGGCCCAUNAGUCCUCCUCCAUGACUUUCCUUGAUAAGAAGCUUUCGAAUGGAUCCUUGGGGUAUACAUAGUUUUCCUUUAUUAAAAAGAUACCCCUCAGAAAUGUAGAAUCCGUCGAAUGGCUUCUUAAGACAAGAUGCAUAAGUNNAUGCAAAGGUAGUGUCAGUGUCAUAAAGUUGUUUGAUGUCAUCAAAACCUAGUAUUUGUGAACCUAGAGUAACUAGUAAUGCAUGUCUUCUAGAUAAAGCAU
rnacentral:lncRNA from 1 species